UAAGGGCGUACGGGGGAUGCCUAGGCGUCAAGUGCCGAUGAAGGACGUGUAGCACUGCGAAAAGCGAUGGGGAGUCGUGCUAGGACAAUGAGCCAUCGAUAUCCGAAUGGGGAAACCCGGCUUGGGGAAUGCCAAGUCAGCCACGGUUGAACACAUAGGCCGUGAGCGGGGAACUCAGGGAACUGAAACAUCUAAGUACCUGGAGGAAAAGAGAGUAUUCCGUGAGUAGUGGCGAGCGAAAGCGGAGGAGCCCAAACCAAGAUGGCUUCGGUCAUUUUGGGGUUGUAGGACCAACAGAAGACAAGACGUGGCGAGCAGAACAGCACUGGAAAGGCUGACCGGAGCGGGGUGAUAGUCCCGUAAGCGGAGCGACGGCUUGUUGGUUGGAAUCCUGAGUACUGCGGGGCACGCUAACCCUGCAGGAAGCUGGGAGGCCCACCUUCCAAGGCUAAAUACACUUGACGACCGAUAGUGGACUAGUACCGUGAGGG
rnacentral:rRNA from 1 species